rnacentral:lncRNA from 12 species
GGGGGGGGGGGGGGGGGGGGGGGGGGGGGGGGGGGGGGGGGGGGGGGGGGGGGGGGGGGGGGGGGGGGGGGGGUCGGCACCCCGCGGGCGGCGGCUCCGCGCUCCGGGCCGCCCCGGCUGCGGCGCGGGUUCCCCUCUCAUCCUGAGGACAAGGUCAAGGAUGAAGGGUCAAUGUCAAGUUGUCUUAACGGUGGAAGGCGACCGUCCACGGCAGCGCUCCCUGCUUCCCGCGUUCCUGGUGUCCUUGAUCGAUUUGAAAGUGCCAUUUUGAAAGGGAACCGCGCCCGGGCACCAAGAAGACGCGAGGACUUCGCUUUUCCUUCGCAGGGCGAAGAAGUGAGGAUGGUUUCAGGGACCCUCGGAGGACUGAAUUCUGCCAAGUGAACCCUCCGAGAGGUAAGCAGCAAUGUCAUGGCUCCCUGAUAAGCACACGUAACCCAUCGCUCGCAGGGGCGAUCUGCACGUCUGUUUUCUGCGUGGACGCCACGGGAAAGUGAUUUUGAAUGUGAGCAGGCUCGGGGAGGUGCGUUAGGGAGGGAAGCUGCGGUGGGUACAGCUCCGGCACUGCCCUGCGGGGGGAACCUGCCGCUGGCAGCCGGGCAGCGGCCGGCGGGGGGGGGGGGGGGGGGGGGGGGGGGGGGGGGGGGGGGGGGGGGGGGGGGGGGGGGGGGGGGGGGGGGGGGGGGGGGGGGGGGGGGGGGGG